UAAAACCAAGUACUUGCUCAUGCUCAACCCGAUUUGAGCAAAGUUAACUGUCUGAGCAUUUACUCAAAUCCGUAUGAAUAAAACGAUACUUUACUCAGAGUAAGUUCGAAAUUCGAACAUAGCUUUUACUCUGUCAAAAUGUUGUUUUUGUUUUGGCCAUCCGAUUUUUGUAGGGUGCAAUAAGUGUUCCAGCGUCCAGCAAUGCAAACCUACAGAAAGAAGUGCCUUUGCGGAAGUUUUUUUUCGUUCGCUGCCACCCACUCACCCCGGUAACACCGGUAAAACUCAACACUCAAUUAUCAGCAUCACGUGCGUCGCCCUCAUCGACAGCUACGACAGAGCAGGUGCCUUUCAGCGAUGUCCAAGUACGAACCUGUGCCCACCAAAGACAAAAUCGAUCGGAGUCCAUACACGGUUGAUCAGAAACAGUAUCAAAAUCCGACCCGGUAGCAACUUCAUCAGCUACAACCAGCAUCAACAAUACAUGGAAUUUACAUCCCGUUCAGCAAAAUGGACCAACCGUUCAUUCAAGGAAAACAGAAUAAACUGAUGAAAAGUUUCGCGGACAAUUCGGCUACCAUGAGUGACUUUUGGCAACCAGUAGAGGUGAAUCCAUAGGACAAGGCACUGGUAUUGUUCAAACGGAGAUGCUGUCGGAGUAAAAUGCCACAGCCACCCUCGGGGAGACGGGCGAAACCACGGUGAAAAAAAAAAUCACGGAUUCCCCCUCCUGAAUCUGUUGUAAAAAUGAAUAAACUAUAGUACUAGUUCGAA